CUCCCUCUCCUCACAGGUGGACAGAGGCAUUUUAAUAUGUUUAAUGCACGGUAACACUGAGUUUCCAAUGCUUGGGGAGUCUUGAAAAUGAAAUGAGCUUAUUUUUAAGAUGAUAUUGUCUCCCCCUUUGGAAAAAUUGUCACGUAUAGCCCAAAUGAUCCCUUAGGUUUUCUGGAAAAGCUCCUUAGCGAUUCAGCGUGUAUUCACCAACCUGCACAAGGACUUUUUCAGGUGUGUGUAAAUGUGCUUUCCUGUCAUGGUAAAAUGUCCCCCCAGCAUCCACUAGGACCCAUCUCCUUGUUCCACCCCAUCUCCUGUUCUGUUUCCAUGGCUUUGCCUGUUAGGGAUAGUUCAGGGCUGUGUCUCCUGCCUCUGACUUCUCUCAUGUAGCAUCUGUAAACCCCGAGGCAGCAGCAUUUCUGCAAAUCACUUCAAGGGCCGGCUUUCAUUUCCAUCUCUGCCUUUCCUGGCCCACCAUGCGCUGUCUACACUGCAUUUUGUGUGAAAUUGCCGAGCCAGAUAGAGUUCCCACGGGCCUGGCUGAUGGCGGCCCCAGACACUAGGUUUCAAGCAGAUUCAAGGGUCAGAGCAGUUGAAAGGCACCCUCGAACUUUUCCAAGGUUUCCAGAUUGGAAAAUAAAGUGUGAGGAGCAAACUUGGGUGAUAAUGGACAGUUAGCAGAACUCUCCCUGAUGGUGAAUCAGUGGACUCGUCCUACUGGGGUUCUCCUCCGGAUUCAUUCCAAGAUGAACAUUUCCCUCGGACCGAAAGAGAGGGCCACGCUUAUUCAAUCAAGCAAUCCCACUUGCAUACAGCACCCACGUUGCAUUUUCCUUUUGUUAACAGAAACAGCUAGACAAGAGCACACACUGAGGUGCCGUGUGGUGUACCCGAAACAGCACCAGACUCCAAAUGAGAAGACACUACCACUGCUUACUUGCUAGCAACCAUGACCACAGGCAAGGGAUUAGAUAACCCAAGCCUGCGAUUCAAAAAGGGAGCUUGUUCUGAAUGUCAGCUCACAUUCCCAAGUUGCUGCCAAGACUGAAGCCAGGAAGAUGUCCAAUAAAGAGGAAGUUCGUUGCAUGAAAUUCUCUGUGAGCUGAACCGGUAGUCCCCAAAUACUCGCUAACGCGUUAGCAUCACGUUGUGGACCUUAUUGGGUCUACUUAAUCUCGUGUGCCCAAACUUGAGCUCUCCGUAGGGUGGCAUUUAGAGACAGGGUCUACAAGGGGAUCAUAAGGGCGAAGUUAAACCUUAAGGGAGGUGCUAAACCCAUAGGUCUGACGUCCACAAAAGGAAGGGAAAAGAUACCAGACACCCCUCUAUUUAUGCACGUUGCAAAGCCAGAAAGAGUGGCCCCACCAGGAACCGAACCUGCCAGGAAUUUGAACUUGUACUUCUAACUACCAAUUCAGCGAGGAACUAGAAUUCUGCUGUGGAAUUUUGUUUGGCAGCCUUAGCAAACUAACAAACAGAUUGAAAGUAAGAACUUUUCCAUGAUUUGUCCUUCUAGUCCUAAUACAUUACUCAAGACACAGCAGACGCUUGUAGGAUAUUGAUGAAAUGAUCUAUGAAAAAUAAUGGUAUUAUCAGUGAAUUACUAUAUAUGAUAAACCCUACAAUAUGUGUAUCACUUCCAUACAACUACCUAGAUCAUGCCACACCUUGUUACCCGGUUAUGAUAAGGGAAUGCUAUAUCUCAUUUUUCUUUCUUUUAAAUGGUAUUACAUUUAGAGAGAAACAAAGAAAAUUGGUCUACUAGUGUGAAAGAUAAGAAAGAAAAUGGAACUUCAAUUUACAUUUCACAUGUUAUUAUCAUUGUAAUUGUAAUGUUAUUGUAAGCCUAAGAAAAUGUCUCUGCUAUCUUUCCAUGAGCCCAUCACUCAAGGGUACAAGAAACAUUACAAGCAUUGUGAUGUCAAGUCUAGAAGUUCCUCCUAGGUUCAAAGCUUCCCUCCUUCCCUGUCCACCCUCUCUGCUCUCCUCUCCAUCCUUAACUUCCUCAGUAAUUUAUAGUGUUUCUUCUUAAAUCACCUCUGUAAAGUAUACACAUCAGGACUUCACAGAAUUUCCUGAGUUGGAUUAUGUAUUUAAGUUUCUAAGUUAUUUCCCCACACCAUCUCAAAGACAUUAUUAAACCUUAAAAACACUCUAACACUCACCUCCCUCAAAUGUCUUCUAGGGUGGUGUACUUAAGUCAAAGUCCAUUUGCAGGCGCUGCUCUGUGCUAGGGGCAGAAACUCCAGUUUGGUGACUUCACGGCAUUGGCGGGUGCUGAUGGGUAGCAUUCACUCAGGUCCUUUAGUGUUCAUGGUAGUUCCCCCAAACUUUGAAGAUUUGACCUUUGAAGGGCAAGGUGUAUCCUGCUCAUAUUUUUAUCGCUAGGACUAAGUCAGUGUCUGUCAGGUGGAGGGGUCUGAUAAAAAUCUGGAGCGUGAAUGAUGCUCACUGAGCGUCCACUGAGGGCCUGGAUCUACUGAGUUUUCCUAGCAGAAGCGCGAAGGCUGCUCUUGGUUGUCAGCUUGACCACGUCUGCAAUCAGCUAAAACCCAAGCCACUGGGAAGACUGUGGCUUGGUGAGAACUCCCACCCUUAAUUGGUUAUUUAAGGUCAGACGUCCACCCUAAACCUGAGUCACACCUUUCUGGUGGCAGCCUACAGAAAAGGACACGGAAGAAGGAAGCUUUUGCUUUUUGCCUGCUUGCUCUCACUCUUGCUGGCAAGUUCACCUGUCCUGUUGAUGAAGCUUUCCUUUGCUGGCAUGAGGACCUACUUCUUCAGGAUUCCAACGCAGCAAUGAAGACUAGCGGAGACAUCCGGCCUUGUGGGUGGAUUGAAGCAACUAUCAGCUUCCUGGCACUUUUUUCAGAAGGCAACCAUUGUUGGACUUACCAGAACCACAGUAGAUGAAUUAUCCAACUGUGGUAACCCCAGGACUCAGGAGGCAGAGACACAACAGGACAUCCGCAAGUUCUAGAUUCAAAGACGAUGUACACAGAAAGUUCUAGGCCUGCCAGAACUAGAGCAAGACUCCAUCUCAAAACGAAGCCAACACAUGGUAGUGAAUUAAGCAUCAUUUGAAUUUAUGUCUCUUCAGAUUCUGUUGUCCACUCCUCUUCCGUCCGUUUUCUGGGAAACUGCAUUUCCGUAGUAUUACAGACCACACACGCAGAGUUGAAGAGGCAUAAAGGAAGGGGCUUCCUACAGGUCAGAAGCAUGAGGCUUUAGUAUGAAGCGUUGUGUGUGAGCUUGGACAACUGAGCUUCAGCUACUGUUGCGAUACAAUUAGCUGUGGGUUAUAGAAAUGCCACCCACAACACCUUCCUGGGAGGAAACAGUAAAUAACCCACGGACAAUUCACGUCUUCAAUCGGGUAUUCUCCUCUGACGGAUCUGGAGUCUCUGUCAUUCUUUUAAGCAAAGAGGUUUUUCCCUCACAGCCACAAAGUGGCUGCCACGGCCCCAACCAUUUUGCAUAGCUUUGAUCAUAGGUAGGAAACAGACAGGCAGUGAGGACAGAUAAAGAGAAGACGGUUCUGAGGAAAAAUCCUUCUGGAGCCCUCUGCCCCAACCUUGAACUAAGUCACAUUCAAAUAUCCAGUUUCCAGAAAAGUUGGAAGAGGGAAGCCUUGCCAGACCCUGGAGUGGUGGGUAAACAGGAAAGAAGGUUGCUAGGCAUGGGUGGGGUGCUGGCUGUCUCUGAUAACUUUACCAAAGGAGACAUCUCAUAAGAAAAUCCUCCAGAACUGCUCUGCCCAAACCUGUUUCAGAGCCUGGUGGAUCUCUAAAGUAGAGGUGUGUGCCAAGGGCCGAGCUGGAUGAUACCUGAUUUGGAUUGUGACCGACAAAAACCUUUCUAUAAGAAACAAUGUAAAAAAGGAAAGCAGAAUACGGGAACCGGGAGACAAUUUGAACUUAAAGCUGCUGGGUGAAGGAUGUCCUAGGCCUCCCAUCUCCCAGAAAAUCUAACUAAUAAAUCAAAACUAAAAGGGUGAGCAGAAAGUCUUCCACUAACUCGUUGCACGCCCAGAAUGAAGAACAGAGUAUCUUGAUGGAUUUAAAUCAGAAAACAAAUGGAUAACAGUCUUUGGGAUCUCUCAUUUCUCGAGAACUCCCUGCCCUUCCAGAACCUACCCCGAGCCGCAUUCCGUGAGCACAACCCCGCAAGCUGUGUAGCCUAAAACAGAAUUAGUCACUGCAGAAACGAAGCUCCCGGCUUAACCAUAAGCACCCAGUUGACUCACAGAGACACGCACCGUGAGAGAAAUGUCACAGACUUGGCAGAUAGAAAUGUCUGCAAGAAAACAUUCCAGUGGAAUGUACUGAAACACAGAACCAAAGCAGCAAGCCAGGCUCCGCAAAGCAAUCCCAGCACAGUCAGGGGCUGUUGGGGAUAUAUACGAUACUUAAAAUAAAAUCCCAAAUGUGGGCCUCUUCACUCAUGUGUAUAAAUGAUGCAUGUGGUGUUAAAGCUACUGUGCAAAGCAAAUUCAGGUGAGACAGUUAUUUCUGAUCUGUUGGAGUUUAUAAAUGAAUAAACUCUACCGAUGAAUACUAA